rnacentral:rRNA from 1 species
GAGUUUGAUCAUGGCUCAGAUUGAACGCUGGCGGCAGGCCUAACACAUGCAAGUCGAGCGGAUGACGGGAGCUUGCUCCUUGAUUCAGCGGCGGACGGGUGAGUAAUGCCUAGGAAUCUGCCUGGUAGUGGGGGACAACGUUUCGAAAGGAACGCUAAUACCGCAUACGUCCUACGGGAGAAAGCAGGGGACCUUCGGGCCUUGCGCUAUCAGAUGAGCCUAGGUCGGAUUAGCUAGUUGGUGGGGUAAUGGCUCACCAAGGCGACGAUCCGUAACUGGUCUGAGAGGAUGAUCAGUCACACUGGAACUGAGACACGGUCCAGACUCCUACGGGAGGCAGCAGUGGGGAAUAUUGGACAAUGGGCGAAAGCCUGAUCCAGCCAUGCCGCGUGUGUGAAGAAGGUCUUCGGAUUGUAAAGCACUUUAAGUUGGGAGAAGGGCAGUAAGUUAAUACCUUGCUGUUUUGACGUUUACCGACUAGAAUAAGCACCGGCUAACUCUGUGCCAGCCGCCG